rnacentral:rRNA from 1 species
AGAGUUUGAUCAUGGCUCAGAUUGAACGCUGGCGGCAGGCCUAACACAUGCAAGUCGAGCGGUAGCACAGAGAGCUUGCUCUCGGGUGACGAGCGGCGGACGGGUGAGUAAUGUCUGGGAAACUGCCUGAUGGAGGGGGAUAACUACUGGAAACGGUAGCUAAUACCGCAUAACGUCGCAAGACCAAAGUGGGGGACCUUCGGGCCUCAUGCCAUCAGAUGUGCCCAGAUGGGAUUAGCUAGUAGGUGGGGUAAUGGCUCACCUAGGCGACGAUCCCUAGCUGGUCUGAGAGGAUGACCAGCCACACUGGAACUGAGACACGGUCCAGACUCCUACGGGAGGCAGCAGUGGGGAAUAUUGCACAAUGGGCGCAAGCCUGAUGCAGCCAUGCCGCGUGUAUGAAGAAGGCCUUCGGGUUGUAAAGUACUUUCAGCGAGGAGGAAGGCAUUAAGGUUAAUAACCUUGGUGAUUGACGUUACUCGCAGAAGAAGCACCGGCUAACUCCGUGCCAGCAGCCGCGGUAAUACGGAGGGUGCAAGCGUUAAUCGGAAUUACUGGGCGUAAAGCGCACGCAGGCGGUUUGUUAAGUCAGAUGUGAAAUCCCCGGGCUCAACCUGGGAACUGCAUUUGAAACUGGCAAGCUUGAGUCUUGUAGAGGGGGGUAGAAUUCCAGGUGUAGCGGUGAAAUGCGUAGAGAUCUGGAGGAAUACCGGUGGCGAAGGCGGCCCCCUGGACAAAGACUGACGCUCAGGUGCGAAAGCGUGGGGAGCAAACAGGAUUAGAUACCCUGGUAGUCCACGCUGUAAACGAUGUCGACUUGGAGGUUGUUCCCUUGAGGAGUGGCUUCCGGAGCUAACGCGUUAAGUCGACCGCCUGGGGAGUACGGCCGCAAGGUUAAAACUCAAAUGAAUUGACGGGGGCCCGCACAAGCGGUGGAGCAUGUGGUUUAAUUCGAUGCAACGCGAAGAACCUUACCUACUCUUGACAUCCAGAGAACUUAGCAGAGAUGCUUUGGUGCCUUCGGGAACUCUGAGACAGGUGCUGCAUGGCUGUCGUCAGCUCGUGUUGUGAAAUGUUGGGUUAAGUCCCGCAACGAGCGCAACCCUUAUCCUUUGUUGCCAGCGGUCCGGCCGGGAACUCAAAGGAGACUGCCAGUGAUAAACUGGAGGAAGGUGGGGAUGACGUCAAGUCAUCAUGGCCCUUACGAGUAGGGCUACACACGUGCUACAAUGGCAUAUACAAAGAGAAGCGACCUCGCGAGAGCAAGCGGACCUCAUAAAGUAUGUCGUAGUCCGGAUUGGAGUCUGCAACUCGACUCCAUGAAGUCGGAAUCGCUAGUAAUCGUAGAUCAGAAUGCUACGGUGAAUACGUUCCCGGGCCUUGUACACACCGCCCGUCACACCAUGGGAGUGGGUUGCAAAAGAAGUAGGUAGCUUAACCUUCGGGAGGGCGCUUACCACUUUGUGAUUCAUGACUGGGGUGAAGUCGUAACAAGGUAACCGUAGGGGAACCUGCGGUUGGAUCACCU